CGGGAUGCCAGAGGAGACAGCCUGCGUCGGAGAGGAAGGGAAGCAGGGAGGGCUGGCAUGGGCCGACCAAUGUGGAAGAAGAGAGGGAAAGUGGUUGGGGCUGGGGAAAGCAAAUAAACAGAGCAGUUGAGACAAUAAUAAUAAAAAGAAGAGUCAUUAAAGUGAAGAAAGGAGAUUGUGUCACACCCAAGACAAACAGAAAAUAAACGGCCAGUAGAUCUACUCUACAGAUGUUUGGCACUGAGACGUCCGAUUAGAGAUGCACGGGAGAUGCCGCAGUCGACCAGGGCUCCACCAGCAGCAGCUGGAGAGCAGGUGGGCAGGAGCCCGAGCCAGAGGGGCCUUCACGCUGGAGGAGAGCCAACCCCAGAGACCAUUUCACCCUCCUCCAGCCUCAGAGGAGGAGGCCGAGGACCACAGAGCUUCUGUAAUUUUUCUAUGGUCACAAAACCAGGAAAGGGGUCAUCUGGCAUUUAGACCCUGCUUCAUCUCAUCCCAAAGGCCCAGUGCUCUUUGCCUGACAUCAUAAACAACCAUGAGGUGGAGGAGAAUUUGACAACUGCCAAAUAAAACCACAUGCUCUCAAAAGAUACAAGAAAGGGGUCUCCCUCCUCAUAUCCACCCCUGCUCCCUGCCCCCUUAAUUGGAACCAAACUUCAUCUUUCUGUUCUGUGCACCAGCAGGGAGGAGCCAGCACAUCCCAUCCCCAGCCAGAGCCAAGUGCCUGCAGGUGUCUGAGGAAUGCUAAUGGCCGUGAAUGGGGGAGCCGCACAAGGCUCUUCUAGGCAUUUGCUUCCCAUUAAACCCUCUCGCCUUCCUCUCCAGUCCCUCCCUCCCCCUCUAGCAACAGGCAGCUUUCAUGAGUCAAUUACCAUGGCCAGGUUUUUCUGUUCCUCCGAAGCCACUGGCACUGCUAACAAGACACAGAUGCAGCAGGGCAAGCCCCUGUUGUCCACUUCAGAGUAGGGGCUUUCUUUGCCCCAAAGGACUCCAAGUAGACAGAAGGAAGGUUGGAUAGUUCAAUUUCAACUCCGCCCCCAAAGGACGGGGAGGCAUCAGAGGGCAAUAAGGUCAUCAGCGGUCUCAGGAAGAUGAGUGGGGCUGACCUGUUCCUCCCAGGGCUGUGGAGCUGUGGUGGAUCUCAGAGACAAAGCUGGGGACCCAAACAGGAGGAGCAAAGACUAGAUACGAGUGAAGGCACAGACCAGGGGGCUCCCCUAAAAUCUUCAGUUAACAGAGAGGUAUCCAGAGUCUAGGUAACUUAAUUCAAAACAAAUUGAAUUAAAAAUCUACUCAGAAACUAGUCAGACAGGCUGGAUGCUCAUAUUUAACCACAGUUUCCUAGAUCUUCUCACCAGCCUCACCACAUUCUCUGCCUCUUAAAGUUCCCCUUGGCCUUUGAGCCUCAGAAAUCCAUGAAAUUUCCCAGACAUUCCUGGGAAAAAUUAACCCCUCCUUUCUCUUUAGUCCCUCAAUACACUGGUUGUGGUUCUUCGAAUUCUCUAUAACAUAUCGGAGUGUGGGUUUAUUUUUAUGUGUCUUCCUCAGAACUCCUAAUAUUUCUUCAGUCUGAGGAUGAAUGUCUUCCACCAACUCUGGAAAAUUGAAUAUUGCUAUUCCCCCAUCCUCUCUAUUCUCCUUCUGGAACCCCGGGUAGGGGUAGUUUGGGCCCUUUCCUGUACUCUAUGCCUUUUAGUUUCUCUUACAUCUUUUCUCUCUCUUUAUCCUUCGGUGUGCAUUUGGGAUAAUUUCCUCUGAUCUGUCUUUCAGUUCACUAAUUCUCUGUUCAGCUUUGUCUAAUCUGCUCUUUGACACAUCUCUUCAGCUUUUAUUUCAAUGACUAUCUUUUUGCAUUUCUAGAAAGUUCUAUUUGGUUCUUUUUAAAAAUUUGCCUAUUGAAAAGAUAUGCUAUCUUUUCUUUAUGGUUUGUAUUCCUUUUUCAUCUUUUUAAUCAUUUUAAACACAGUUGUUUUAAAGUUUCUUUCAGGUUGUUAUAUUAUUUUAUGUUAUUUGAAUGCUAAGCUAGUUUGAUAUGUUUGCUGACUUUCCCUAACGGCAUAUCGUUUCCUCAUGUGGUUUGUAAUUUUUUUAUUGUUAGUACAACUUCAAGGAAGAUUACAUUUUGCUGUGAGAAUGCUGCUGCUGUGGGGCACAUUCUUCCAGAAUAGUCUUGCACUUCCUUCUCUUGAAGCCUGAUGAGUUUUACUGGUCUGGAACCUAUUUUUACAUUAAUUUCUCAGCUUGGGAAUUCCAACAGUGGAAAUUCAGACACUGUAGUCACAAAUGGUUUGAGCCUGGAGUUUCUAUUUCUCACUGGAGACUUUUUUUCUACUCAGAGCCCCAGUAAGGACAAGCUUUAUUCUCAGUACCCUAAGACUGUGAGUGAUGCUUUUCUAGUCCAGAUUUCUCUGAGGAUGCAUCCCUUACAGUGUCCUAGCUUUUGCAGAGGUCUCAAUUUUAGCUGUCUGCCUCUUAUGAACCAGGGAUCAUGUCACCUGCCCCCACGUCAGCAUCAAAACCAUAGUCCCCAGCUCCUAGGGCUGCAUCCACUCUGACAUCCCCUGUGGCACCAUCAUCAUGGCUUCAGGUUGGGGAACUUAUCAUUCAGACUUUAAGCACCACGUUUACCUACUGGUGACUUUUUCAUUGUGCUUUGCAUUCUAAUUCAUGAGUUUUUGCAAAUAGAUCAGGUACUUCUUGAAAAGCCUGUCUAAUUCAUCUUUGUUUCUCCUGUAGUGCCUAGCACAGGGCUCUGUCACAAGGCUCCUUACUUAUCCACUCAAACAUACAAAAACCUUAGACACCCAUACAUGACCCUUUCAUCCCUGCAGAAUACAUAAGCCACGGGGCUUCAGAGGUGAUCAGAGGAGGCAGGAUGAAGAAGUAAGCACUGGACAUUCCCCUCCUCUCUUCCAAGUUACUGGUUCUUUCCUAGGAGGUAGUGAAGGUCAUAGGUAGAGAUUUAGACCUGGUUCUAGUCUGAUCUCUGACACUUAUGAGCUGAGCGAACUUGGAAAAGUCACUUCAUCUUUCUGGGGCAUCAGAUUCUGCAUCUGUAAAACAGAGGCGGCAGAAUGGCCUGGGCAAUCUCCAAGAUCCCUUCCAGGUCCGGCAGCCUUUGUAGCUUCAAGGUAAGAACACCACCUGGAUAAAGUGGUCAGGCUCUCAUCCAGGUAUCCCCCAGAUUUUCCCCACCCUCAAUCACCCACUGGAAUUUCUCUCUCUCCCCUGCCUCUUCUUUCCACCUAACCUCCUUUCUCUGUACCCUGCUGUUCCUCCAAGUCCAAUCUCUGCUGAGGCCUUCGUCCUAUGUCUGUGUCUUAGGAAAGGGGGGCAGAGGUGGUGGUGGCAAAUAAUAUCCCCUCCAGUGGGGGGUGAUGAGCUUUAUGGGGGAUCAGAGGGCAGAUGACACAGGGACCCGGUGCCUGAGUGUACAGAAGCUCCAUCUGGCCCCAGCUUUAGGGGUUUCCUGAGCCUUGAACUGGAGACCCUGCAUCUUAAUGAGCCUCUUGAGCCGGUUCAGAAACAAUGAAUCAAAACCAGCUGGAAGCUGCCCUCCGACCCAGCUAAUGACUUGUUUAUUGUCAGAGCAGCAGUGCGUCAUAUAAGGGAAUUUCAAAGUGUCACUAAUUGGCAGAGGGCCAGUAAAUAGCACCAUAUAAAUCUGAAGGUGCUUCCACUAGGGCUGAGGAUUGUGGACCAGAUACUGAAGAGGCAAAAGGAAGCAGAUUACUGGAAGGGCAGGGCAGGGCAGUGGGUGCAGGGGCAGCACCAUUACCAGAGGCUGCAGCUUCUGCCCUGGGUCUCAACUACCCUGGGAGAUUGGAGUGUUUGUUCUGUCAUUGGGAAAGGAAAGACAAAGCCCCAUGAGGGUCCUAGUCCCACCUUCAGUGACAGUGUACUGCAUGUCCCCAACCCCAAGAUGCCUGACAUCCCCCUAUACUUUGGGAGAAGAUGUCCUCUUUUUGAGGUAAAGCCUGAGGAUCUCAUUUCAGGUAUGAUUAAUGGAUUCUGUAGACAUAAAAUUUAAGGCCCUGUUAUCCAUUACACAGAAAUGUUCUGCUUACAGAAGAACCUGGGAAAGACUUUACUCCAGUGGGCCCCUUAGGGACAGAGCUAGGAGGACCAGGAAGGAAUGAGUGAUGGUAUAAAAGGAGUCUCUUCUGACUCGGCAUGAGCUCCUACUGGGAGCUGGACCAGAAAAUGUGCCAAAGAUGGGUGAUCAGCAAAAGAAAUGGAUGUUCCUUCCAUGCCCACCCAACUCCUCUCAUACACACAAAUUCCUGCUGCCUGUCUCUUCCGCAUCUGAAGAUUGAAGCCAGCGGAUGGUUUGGAGAAGAGGAAGCAAGAAUGGAGGAAAAGCAUAAAGUGGGAAGUGAAAGGUUGGAAAGGGAGACGUGAGGUUGGCAUUUCAGAGUGGCAAUCACCUGCUCACAAGUGUGUGCUCUAGACGGGCCCAUUGGUGCUGCACCUCUGAGCACUGGCCCUGACGCCCACAGCAGGCUGGCAGAGGCAGGAAGCUUUGCCUUGGAGCCCUGCUGGGAAGUGAUGGGUAAAGGGGCCGAGGGCUGAUUCUUUGGGGUACCUACCCUGUGUCUGGGAGUCGUGGGCCCUAAGGUUAGGCCCAGCCUAAUGCCAGCUAAGCUUAUGAACUGCGACAUCAAGAAGCCUUGUGGGGAAUGGAAAGACAGCAAAAUCUGUAUGCAGUAGAGCCGACAGGAAGUCUGAGGACACCUGCAGUCUCAUAGUGAGAACUAGCACUGCCCAAAUUUAUUGGGCAUCCAUCACCUAAGGUGGAUGGGCCAAAAGUGCACCUGAGAACAGCUAGCACAACCUAGCAGAUCUCUCACAGGUGGAUUCCACUAUUGCAAUCUGCAGUUUACAGAUGGGAAACUAAGGUUCAAAGAAUCAGGACAUAUCAGGGGCCUGUCUGGGAGGUCCUGAGGCCUAAAGCGCCUCACUCUCUCUGCAUUCACAAGCAUUGAUGGAAAGCUGAUAUGUUUGGGGCCCCAGGCUAGGAACUCUAGAACUAGUGUGAGCAUAGUCUAUGUUCUCUAGGGUCUCAAGGUUGAUAGUGGGGACAAGCAUCCAAAUGACUAAGAGUAACAUAAAACAUGAUGGAGGAAAGAAUGGGAAAACAGGAAUGAGCAAAAAUAGGUGAAAGGACGGUGGGAUGAGUUCUCACCUGGAACAGGGGGGCCUUCACAAAGGGGUAGAAUUUGAGCUAAGCCUGGAAGAAAAGACAGACUUUCAACAGAUGGGGAAGGCCUGCAGCGGAGAGGGCUCACUGAGGUGGCCUCCUGAGGCAGCGGCUGCCUCUUCCUGUCUCACCCCAGCACAGAGCAGCGCUCACAACACACAGAUGUUGGGCGUCUGUGUCCCCCUCUCAGAGAGCCGCUGGGACAAGACACUGGGCAAAAAAUAAUCCUCCGAGGAAACUACUCCAAACACUUACACACAACCUGCCACGGCCUUGGACCCUGUGCCCACUGGUCUCUACAUCUUUUCUCCUCUUAAGAACCCUUCACAAAUGGCCCUUUGCCUAACUCUGAUAGCCAAAUGCCUUGAGGUUCAGGAAUUAAGAAAGCUUGAGGGGGGCCGGCUCUGUGGCCGAGUGGUUAAGUUCACGCGCUCCGCUGCAGCGGCCCAGGGUUCCGAGCCUGGGCGCGACAUGGCACCGCUCGUCAGGCCACGUUGAGGCGGCGUCCCAUAUCCCACAACUAGAAGGACCUGCAACUAAGAUAUACAACUGUAUACGGGGGGGUUGGGGAAAUAAAGCAGAAAAAAAAAAAAGAAAGCUUGAGGAAUUUCUCUCCCAGCGGGUCACCUUUUUCAUUUUUCUAACACUUAAAUUUUUAAUUUUAUUAAUUUUUUAAAAUUGGUUUUAUGUGAUGUAGACGUGGAACAAAGGAGUCCAAAGGACAUGUGAUGAAAAGUCCUCCCCGACACAGAGCCGGCCACCGAGUGCCCUUCCCGGUCCCACGGCCCUAUGGAUCCUCCCAGACUUGCUCCCUGCGUGUCUCCUUCAGACAGACGAAUACCUUUCCCACGGAAACAAACUGGGCUGUUCUGUGACUUCCUGCAAGAGCGCAAGAGGGGAAAGUACCUAAUUCCAGCCCCAGGUAGAACAGCAAAGUCGUCUCUCCGUCGCUAGGUGCACAUGCGCGGUCGUCCUUGGCACAGUGCUCCCAUCCUGAGCGUUUCGCACAUUCCCUCUUGUCGCGCACAGGAACCUUACGGUCAGUGUUACUUUCAUCACCCCCACUUUCCAGACAUAGAAACUGAGGCUCAGAGAGGUUCAGAAACAUUGUCCGGUCACCCAGCUAGUACAUGGCAGCACCAGGAUUUGAACCAAGGCCUGUCCGAUGGCAAAUCUUUGACUCUUAAUCAUUACACCAUUGUCUCUAGAAAGAGAAAGUGGAGAGCACUUUGGAUUUUGCAGACUGAAGUCUAUGGGGUGGGGGUGGGGGUUCUGCCCAGAGAAGAGCCUAAAAUCCAGUCUCCACUCAGACGCCCAGGGAGAAAUCCACCUGCAAAGGGCAUACCAAGUUUCCUCCUGAGAUUUUUCUCCUCUGGCUCAGGUUUUGUACUGAAUUUUAUGGAGAGAGAGAGCUGUGCCAAGGAACAGAACCCAUGUACACAGAAAAAUACACUCUGGGCAACCUGAAUUUACAGGUGUCCUGUGGGCAACACCAUGAGGAAAAGCAUCUCUUCUCAAAGCAGCCGAGAGGGCCUCAGGGUGGAGGCGUGAGCACAUCUGAUCCAGCAGUAGCUGCCUUCCCGUGGGCCCUGAGAAGACCGAGCUAAUCCCGCACACCCACAGCCACUUGACGCUAUCACGGCAGGGGACAGAUGCCCUGGCCGCUCUGCAGGCUCGGCAGUGUUUUCCAGGGGCCUCGAGGGACCUCUGUGCAGACAGGCCUCCAGAAGCUAAGGCCAUCACACCAGGUAGAAAUGAUUGUGCUAAUAAGGAAAGAGGUGGCCUGCAAGAGCCCUGCCUAGGCCCCAAGCCUCCAGUUAAUGAGACUUCAUGGGGAGAAAGAGCCUCUAGGGUGAGUGGGGGUGGGGCGGACGGGGCGCAGAGCAGCCGGAGGCCGGCAGUGGCUGAGCUGUUUAUUAGGAGACAAAGAAAGGACUUUGCUCUCUGCACUGAGGUCAAACUCAAGGUAUCCCGGGGAAAUGGCAGGGGAAUUUAUGAGGUGAGGAGGCAGCCGGUUUGACAGCUGUCUGCUGGCCUCCACCCCAGCACUGGUGCUUCAGCCCCGAACUGUCCUGGAGAGCAUUCACCUUGAUGAAGCAAGAUUCCUGGCAAAUCCCCAGGAUUCCAGGCCACUCGAGGGGCUUCUGGGAAAUGAUGCUCACACAAUGACACAGGUUGUAGAAUGGGUUGGAAAGGGAGGAGACAGUGACAGUUACUUUCUGGGUUCCCUCAAAGUCCCAAACCACCUACCACUCACUUCCCCACUCCCUCCGACUCAGACACAUGCAGAUUUCCCCCGGGGCUGGCCCCUCACCUGACAUCGGGACAGCCUCUGCUGGUGGCUGUGGCACGCUCCCACCUCAGAGUACAGGCAACUGGGACCCAGUUUUGCAACCUUGAGGCAGAAACAGGCAGGACUGCCCUCAACCACUCCUACCCUGCAAUUCUCAGACAUAAAGGGGUGGAGGUGGAGCUUGUGCGGGAGAGGGUGGACAUCCUGGGACUAAGCAGGAGGGUUCAAGCACUGCAUUUUGGGACAUUGGAGAAAUGGGUGGGAGGAGAGACAUUAUUUACAUUCAAGAAUGUAAAUUCAGACACUUUGGUUGUGUUAGUUGCCAGGUUUCCUUGGAAACCAGGUUUCCUUCUUUUUUUGAAAGGAAAGUGUGUGUGUGUGUGUCUGUCAGUCUGCCUGGGGUAGGACAGAGGAUGCUGACAAGAGAAGAAAUAGCUGCCUUGCCUGCAUACUGCAUUUGGACCCCGUCCCUCCCUAACAUGGACACCCUGAGACCCACACAAAUACAGGCAUCUUAGUGCUUUUGGAAGACUAGAAACACAACUCAAGAUGGUCUUCUGGGCAUGUUCCCCUAGAGUGUAACUUAGUCCGAUCCCCACAAGGGACCUGUUCUUUCUCCCUCCCCCAUAGCUUCUCAACUGGGAACAUGCUGAUACCCACCUCCCAGUGAUGUGGAUUAAGGCUGCCCCAGCUAGAGAAGCCCAAGGUGACCUGGCCUACAUGCCAAACUAUACGACCCAGUGGACUUUUUUUUUAUGGUAUGAAUUAGGACCGCCCCAGGGAGAGAAGCCCAGGGCAUCCUCACCUACAUGCCGAUCUAUAUGGCCAGAUUCGUAUCUAAAGUUAUAUGACCGCACAAUAACCAGACCCCAUCUGCACUGAAAUCAUUUAAUGACUUUUUACAUCAUCUUUUCUUUUUUCCAGUAAAAAUAAGUCACGUACCCAUGCCUUAUAAAAUUAGCCCUAACCCUCAACUCAGGGCAGCAGCAGGAGCUCUGUCUGCCCGUGGGUCCUGUCCCCACACACCAGCUCUGCCUGCCAAUGGGUCCUGUCCCCAUGCCAGCGGGGGCAGCAGAAGCGGCAGCAGCAGGAGCUCUGACUGCCCAUGGGUCCUGUCCCCAUGCUAUUCCACACUAUUCUCUAAAUAAAAG
ensembl:lncRNA